rnacentral:rRNA from 1 species
AAAGCGUGCGCAGGCGGUUAUGUAAGACAGAUGUGAAAUCCCCGGGCUCAACCUGGGAACUGCAUUUGUGACUGCAUGGCUAGAGUACGGUAGAGGGGGAUGGAAUUCCGCGUGUAGCAGUGAAAUGCGUAGAUAUGCGGAGGAACACCGAUGGCGAAGGCAAUCCCCUGGGCCUGCACUGACGCUCAUGCACGAAAGCGUGGGGAGCAAACAGGAUUAGAUACCCUUGU